AUACGUAGGGUGCGAGCGUUGUCCGGAAUUACUGGGCGUAAAGAGCUCGUAGGUGGUUUGUCGCGUCGUCUGUGAAAUUCCGGGGCUUAACUCCGGGCGUGCAGGCGAUACGGGCAUAACUUGAGUACUGUAGGGGAGACUGGAAUUCCUGGUGUAGCGGUGAAAUGCGCAGAUAUCAGGAGGAACACCGGUGGCGAAGGCGGGUCGAUGGGCAGUAACUGACGCUGAGGAGCGAAAGCAUGGGUAGCGAACAGGAUUAGAUACCCUGGUAGUCCAUGCCGUAAACGGUGGGCGCUAGGUGUAGGGGUCUUCCACGACUUCUGUGCCGUAGCUAACGCAUUAAGCGCCCCGCCUGGGGAGUACGGCCGCAAGGCUAAAACUCAAAGGAAUUGACGGGG
rnacentral:rRNA from 1 species